GAUGAACGCUGGCGGCGUGCCUAAUACAUGCAAGUCGAGCGAACGGACGAGAAGCUUGCUUCUCUGAUGUUAGCGGCGGACGGGUGAGUAACACGUGGAUAACCUACCUAUAAGACUGGGAUAACUUCGGGAAACCGGAGCUAAUACCGGAUAAUAUUUUGAACCGCAUGGUUCAAAAGUGAAAGACGGUCUUGCUGUCACUUAUAGAUGGAUCCGCGCUGCAUUAGCUAGUUGGUAAGGUAACGGCUUACCACGGCAACGAUGCAUAGCCGACCUGAGAGGGUGAUCGGCCACCCUAGAACUGAGACACGGUCCAGACUCCUACGGGAGGCAGCAGUAGGGAAUCUUCCGCAAUGGGCGAAAGCCUGACGGAGCAACGCCGCGUGAGUGAUGAAGGUCUUCGGAUCGUAAAACUCUGUUAUUAGGGAAGAACAUAUGUGUAAGUAACUGGGCACAUCUUGACGGUACCUAAUCAGAAAGCCACGGCUAACUACGUG
rnacentral:rRNA from 1 species